GUCGUAGUGCCAGCAAUAUCUCUCCGUUUUACCUCCCGAUAGUGCCUUACCUAAUAGGAAAAAAUAAAAGACAGAAAGUGAGGAAACUUUCGGUAGACGUUGACUCCUCUGGCACUCGUUGGAAAAUUUGUUUACCUCCUUGGCACUCUUUUGGAAAUUAGUUCGUAUUACCCCGCAUCGUCCUGGUCUUGAGUGCCGUUAUGGAACCGUUUUUACUGAACUGAUGCCUCAUGAAGUUCAUAAAAAUCUUGGCGCAGUGUCGUAAAUUAGAUGACGGGCUUGAUUUUUCGGUGAUCUUGUUUUUUUUUUCUCUCUCCUUGUUCAGUAUCUGUCGGGUUUCUUUACAGUAGAAGAGAGCAGCCAAGGGAUGUAGACACAUAAGAUGCCUAUCACUGAGGGCCCCAGCUAAUGGAACUCGAGUGAGUGCAAGUGAAUGAUCAGUGAAAAUCUCGUAUUUGUGUGUCACCCAGUGUCCUACAACC